AAUGGGAAUAACGGCCAAGAUUUCCUGCGUAAUCAUUUGAAGUUGGAAUUGUGCGAAUCAGUCCAGAAAUGUGGGGAGAAGAAGGAAUUGAUAAUAACAUCAGUAUGGAGCUGCAGCAGUCACUCAACGAAUGAGCACAAUUCUAAGUAUUUCAAUUGGCCUCAAGUCAUUCGAAAAGGUUUCACCCUAAUACGGUGGCAAGCGAUCCUUAUCUUUCAGCCCUCGAGUAAUUCAGUUUGGGGUGGAAUUAAAAGUGACGUCUGUCUGGCUGCCUGGUCAGCUUGUUAUCCAGUGGCACCAAACCCAGCUCAGGAUAAGAGUGCAUUCUACAUGACAUAGGCUUUCCAAAAGCCCCUUGGCAGAGAAAUAACAAACGCGGUGGUGUAAAAUGCGAUGCUACUUUGUCGAGACCCACUUCAAAAUAAGCAUAGGAAAUAGUCGAGCAAGA